AUGACAGAGCAUGGGAGGAGUCAUACCAGGCUGGCCCCAGGGCUCACUGACACAGAGAUGCUUAGCAGCUCAACCAGCUGUUCCAUGAGCUGUUUGCAUGUCCAGGUGAGUAUUCUGGGAAGCCUGGGGCUGGAGAAGACUCGUGUGGGAGGAGGCUCCAAGAAGCUGCCAGAGAGAAGGAACACAGACAGCCCUGCUUGCUCCCCAUGGUGGCCAAAGGAGCACAGCUUUCCAAGAGGCCCAGCCUUAGAGAACUCCCUCACCCACCAGUCUUCUUUGCCCCGAGGACCUGGACUGCAGCUCAUGUCUGCUACUCCUGUCAGGAAUGAGUUAGAACAGCCACUAUGUUUGGAUGGUGAAGAAACAGGUAUAAAGAAAGAACUGGCAGGCUCACAAAGAGGGCUUGGACCACACCACUAG
rnacentral:lncRNA from 1 species